CUCUUGCUAGGGGUCAGUCAGCAGCAAGGUCAAGGGGUCACUCUGCAGCAGAUCCCUUUGCAGCACAGUGACUGAUUAGAGUGUGGCUAGAAUUGGGGUUCAGCCAGUCCGUGGCAAGAUUUGGGGAUAAGUGUGGGCAGAAGUUGGCAGUAGUCACUUUUGCCUGGCUUAAAUGAUCAGGGUGUCGGGGUCAGUCUGUGAGUAGGGACAGUGGAUAGUCUGUAUCAGUGUAGGGAGGUCACCUUGACAUCAGGAUUUGGGAGCUGCUUUUGACAAACCAGAUAAGAGGACGAGUUCUCUUUAGCCCUGUGAGCUUGGAUUCACAUCCCUCCAUGGUGGCUCACCAUGGCCCAUCUUACUUCCCCACCCAAGCUCUGGAGCUGUCCUUCUAUCUGGGGACACUCACUCUCCUCACCACCACCCUGCUCUUACUUAGGGCCACAUGCUGCACGCAGAAGUUCUCCUUGGGCCUUACUGUUGUUAGAAGGAGCUCAGGCUGGCAGCCGAAUUGGCCAGAGUAGGGAGGCCUUCUGCUUCCCAGGGAUCCCACCCUGGAGCCACCAUGGAUAACAGGCAAUUGAUUGUCCUCUUCCCUUCAUUUGUUCAUAAAUCUAAAACCCAUCAGAGAUAGAAGGGUCCUCGAGGUCACACUUAAGGCCCAAAGAAGGGCAGGGUCUGCUCAGGUACAUGUAGCAAGUUGGUGGUCAAGACAAAUCUGGAAUCCAAGCUUCUCAGCCCUUAGGGAUGGGACAGUUGAGGCCAUGAGAGGCCAAGGCUCUGGAAAAGGAAAGUCGGGGAAUGGUGACUCCUCAAAUCAAGGUCCUCUUGUUAUUGCCCACCCAGCCCUCUCCCUCCCACAGUCAUGAAGAGCCAAAGGAACAAGGGUGGUCAAAUGUGAGUUUGAAGCUGGGGAGGGAGAGAACACUGUGAGAGCUGCUGGAGAAAAGCUUAGCUGGUUCUUACAGAAACAUAUGGAACUCAUUACCCUAAGUCAAGGUGGUUGCUGGCCAGCUGGCAGUUGGUGGGUUUGGGGCUCAAAGUGUGCGUUGUGUGGUAAUGAGGGUACUCGUAGCCCAGUAGGCUUCUAAGAAUAACCCGCCUGCUUGAUGAUCCUGGUUUUUGCUAAGCCUUGUUUUCUUUCCAGUCUACGCCACUUCUAGCAUCCAAAAAAAUUUCAAGACACGCCCAGGGAACUGAGCCACUGCAGAUAAUGCAGGGAAGGGGUGAGGACCUGGGGACAUUAGACAUUUCUCCCCAAUGUAACUUCCUUCUCUAUCAAGACAAGAAACUGGUACGGCUUACUGUGGGUCCAGAUGUGCGAAGUGUGGAGCCACUGUGAUCCCAGCUUCCUUCUGUGUUCAUCCAGCAAAAUUGACAAUUCAGGAAGAUGUACCCGAUUUUUAUCACAUGGCUUUGAGAGACCCGGCACGGGGCCAGCUUCACACAGAGUCACAUAUGUGCCUACCCGAGCACACAGGCCCGCAGAUGCACACACUUCGAGAAGGCCGUGCUACGCCCGAUGCUUCCCAAAUGGGCCGAAACAAACCCUCUCGCCGUGAAGAGCUGCUCUGAAGCCCACUCAGUGCGCUCCCUGGCAAGGGAGCUGAGGACCUCAGCAGCGUCUUCCUUGACAAAACUCCUCUGCAAGGGUUCUUGUGAGGAUUAGAGAAACAUGCUGCAUGAACCCAGGGCCUUGUGCAGGGCUCUGCUUCUUCCCCAAAACUGCUACCCACACCAAGCAUGUGGCUGCCUGGCACCCUCCUAAAGACUUCAUAUCCAACACUUUAUUGAAUCCUCACUGUAAAUGGAGAGAUCACUUUUCCCAUCCCCAUUUCAAAGAUGAAGAAAUUGAGCUCAGAGACGUCCAGUGACCCGACCAAGAUCAUAAUGUUUGGAAUAGAUGGAGCAAGAAUUGGAGUCCAGCCUGGCAUGGUGGCAUAUACCUGUAAUACCAGCGACUCAAGAGGCUGAGGCAGGA